GCUUUGGGAGGGCUUAGGGAGACUGUAAAAUCAAAUCUCGUGUUACAUUAUUUUUUUCCUGGCUCACUCUUUUUGAGAAGGUUUAUGGGCUAUGUGGCUGGUGAGACACGAUCCCCUCCUCCCUAAGGAAAUGUAGGUGCUCAGACAGGUAACCUCUGCUGCUACUGUUUUUUAUUUUAUUUAAAAUUUGAUUUCAUUGUUCUAGGAUUUUAAGAAGUAAUAUAUUGCAGGAUUUAUAACCAGAUUCACUCCUUUUUCUUUCUUUUAAAAAAAUAAAUGUUUUAUUUAAAGUAUGUUAAGCGUCUUUGAAGCUUGGAUUUUGGAGUGUCUCAGUAGUAGACAAAAAUCUGCUGUUGGAAUCUCCUAGUCCUCUUCCAGAUUUGACUUGAAUUGCUUUUAAUUUUGUUUUGGGCUUUUUUGUGUGGUAUUUUAUUUCUUUUACCAAAGUCCUGUUGGUAUACUGUUUUGGGGAGGGUGCCUAACUUUAGUGUUAGACCUUCUUAUAUUAAUGAAAACUUGGCUUUUUAUUUCUUUAGUGUUUUAUUUUUUGUUUUUUGUAUUGUUUUUAAAGAAAUAUUCUAACUGUUUCCACUGUUACUGUUCUUUGCCAGCCUUUUCCGGAGCCAAAAAAAAAAAACCCAGAGAAAAAAAUUUCCUCCUUCCCCCUUCCUGAUGAUGAGUGAGAAGUUUUGAGAACUUUCGGGGUCAAUGCCUUUUUAAACUUCCCUUCCCCCAAUAAUGCAGCUCGUAUAAUGGUAAAUGCAGCAGCCUGGAUCCAUGCAGAGCCCCAGCCUGCUGGCAGCAGAGUAAUAAACUGGUAGGUGGCUGCAGUAGAAGAAGGACUUCUUCAGACUGGUGAUUGUGACCUGAAAAUUCAGCAGAGGGGGAAGUGGAACAUGAAAUAGAUGAUGGAAACAAAGGGGAAAGAGGAUGGAAGAGAGAUUAUGGCUCCUGGGAUUUACACUCUGGGUGUUUUCUUUCAGGUUUUUGAAGUAGAAAGUGAUUUUCCUACUCUGUGGUCAUUUUGGAUGAAGAUAGAUUUGACCAGAUGGACCUUAGGUGGGGCAAAACACAGAAGAAAGAAGCAACAGCCUCAACUAAUUUGACUGUAAUCAUAUUUUCAUAAUAAAAUGCUAUGAAACUAGAAC
rnacentral:lncRNA from 1 species